UCUGAGGAGGAAGGCGGGAUGGGAGGGUCGUGGGCGUAGGUGUUCUGAGGAGGAAGGCAAUUGAGUAGCAUCGUGUCCUGAACUGAAUCCAAUGCAGCUAUCUACCGUUGCACAAUUUCGUAAGUGCAUCCAUCCACAUCGUGUCCAUCUUGCAGUUCCAGGCUGAGCUGAUUUCUUGAGUGCUCUGCCCUCCCUGGAAUUGCUCAAACAGGUGUACCAGGUCAGGCAUGUGGCCAUCAUGUCCUAUUUUUUCCAUUAAUCCAUGCGAAUAAGUGUCACAUGAACACGCCCCCAGGGAAGACACACCGUAAAUCUAGCCAGCCAGCCACAAGAUCACUGGACGAGAUCAAUACAUGGAUAGAUGAACAAAAAACAAGUACUCACUCUGUACUAGUACUAGAUGAUCUCACUGAAGAAAGAAACUUGUUUUUCUCUUCAGAUAGAGAAAUAAAAUACUACUACUAAGAAGAAGCUUCAGCGCACGAGCAAGAAAAAGUGAGGGAGCCUUUUAUUCUUGUCCUCGCUAGCUAGUGAUAUAUGUCUAUACAAUAUAGAAACUCAUGCAUCAUGCACUCAAAGGCACACAUGUAUACCCAUCCUGCCUGCUGAAUAAACAAACUCUUCAGGCAUAGUGAUUUUUUUCUUCUUCCUUUCUUUCCUUCACAUUCCAGUAGUGAUUUUUUUGUCCCUGCCUGCACAAUUUGUGUCUUGACCAUGCCAUGUUUCACAAGGGAGGGGCAAGAGCAUAGAUACACAGAUAGAUUUAUCCAUGCAGUGAAUUUUUACAGCACUAAAUUCUUACAGCCAUACUGUAGUAGUACUGUUUUUUGUUCACGCGAGCUGUUGGAUUGGUAGUAGUAGCAGUGAUGAUUCAGAGUUUGAGACAAUGCCUCCACGCACUAGGCUGAGGUGAGGGUCCAAUGCCUGCACGCAUGAGUGACAUUGAUGCGGCCUGCCAGAUUAGGCAACCAAAUUUAUUAUGAUAGUACUGUAAGUAUUACUGACACAAACCUGCAUCUACCCAAGAUUCAGAUAGAUUUAAUUUCUUUCAUUUUUUUGUAGCAGCAUGCAGCGUGUCCUGAACCACCUGCACAAUUUUCAUUUCUUCAGUGUGUCCACCCGCAUCUGCCCAAGUUUCAGACAAAUUUCUUGAGUGCCCUAUGUGUUGUGUUGCCUGAAUUCAUUUCCGUUCCAUUGCAUUCCACCACCACUCGAGAAUAAAAGCUUUAUAUUCAUGAUCCUGCUCCACCACUUGAAAUAAAAGCAUGUGUUCAAUCAAAAAAAUAAAAGCCUGUGCAGUGUUCGAUCAAAAAAAAAGAAGAUUGUGCCAUAUACAAGAAUGGCCGACAUAGAGAGAGAGAGAGAGAGAGAGAGAGAGAGAGAGAGAGAGAGAGAAUUCAUUUCCUCUCCACAGAAUUACAUAUGACAUAUAGAGUGACAUUGCUCCUUGUUAAUCACCACUAUAGUAGUAGUAAUUGUUGCACACAGAGUGGUCCUUUUUUAUCUUCAAAUGGCAGUAUGUGUACGAUUCAAUAGGGGCUGCUAGUGGUUUAGUAUUAAUAUAUGUACAGCAAUGUUCAGAAUUGACUAAGCAAGUGCAUAGUCUGAACCGUGAUUGGAAAUCAUGCAUGAUGCUACAAGCUUUUAGAAUAACAGCGGUUCAUGGAGUAAUAUGCUUUGGACUGCUGGUGUGCCUCCUGGGAUUCAGCUUUUUUGUGGCCUCGUAACUUGCUUCCUGGACUAGCAAUUCAGGAAUGCUAGCGGUUUGCUUGCGGUGUUCUCGAUUCAGGACUAUGAUUUCCAAUUGUGCACGAUGCCACAAGCUUUUAGAACCAUAGUGAGUCACGCGGAAUCUUAUCUGGGCUGCUGGUGUCUCCUGGGAUUCAGACUUAGCAUGACUCAAAAAAGCAUAUCGGCAGCUGGUCAUCUAUUGUUUGGACUAAAGAAUCAUCAAGUCCUCCUGAUAUAUGUUUGGAUGUUAGAUGGUUCAUGCAUAUUUCUGUCUACUUCUUCUAGAAUUAUUGUGUUACCUAGAUUCCAAAACCAGUUCAAUAUAGAUGGCAUUGUGAACAUGAAACUGAAUACAGAACUUAUCCUCUCUGUUUUCAUUUCAUUUUGGAAAAUCAUAGGUCUCUAGAAGAAAGUAGUCUGUAGGGGACCUCUAGUACUAGUGUUUUUUCUUUGCAGAUAAGCAUGUCAUUUGUUCAUCUGUGAUUUGUCCUUGAACUCCUAAAACUUCUGAUGAGAAGAAUGUUAGUAGAUGCACAUUCUAUCUGCUUCUGCUAGUUUUCAUGUGUCCGGUCUUGCCUUUUCGGAGUCUCUACAAGAGGUUUUGUUUGUAGAAAUGUAUAGUUGACUGUCCAUCUAUUUGUUUGUAGAAAAGUAUAGCUGACAGUCAGUUAAGCAUAGAUGCACAUUUUUCCUACUGUUUUAGUGAUAACAUAAUAAAUAGAUGGAUUUCUUCUACAAGAGAUUUUAUCUGUAGAAAAAAUCAUAUAGGCUGCUUGUUCAUUUAUUGUUUGAACUAAAACAUCCCGAUGUCCUGAUAAGUUUCGAUGUUAGAUGGAUACAUGCUUCUAUCUGCUUCUUCUAGAAUUACUGUGUUACCAAGAUUCCAAAACUUCUUAGUGUAGCAUUGUAGCUUUAUUUCUACAUGCUCAAACUACCUUCUGUAUGCAGUAUGCAACAAAACUAUGUUGUAUAUAUUCAGUAGUAAAUGUAUCAUCUUAAGAGUGUACUGAAGCUAGAUUAUUUUGUAGCUCAUUUUUUACGCUCUCUCCAUGGUUAAUAUAAAUUAUGCAAAGCAAUGUUUACUUUGAGUGUAACUCUAGUGCUAUUCUUAUUAUUCAAUGUACAUCGAUGGUGUUGCUGGACUUGUGCUAGUCAGAGGGGAGAAAGCUAAGAACCUUGGCCUUUAAGUUCUUGCAAGGAUCAGAGGGUAUGCUGAUGCUACUCAGGGGUGAUCGACGUGGACUACCAUCGCCUGGUGGGCGUCGUGCUCUUCAACCACUCAGAGGCAGACUUCAUCGUGAAGCCGGACGAUCGCGCCGCACACAUGAUCGUCCAGGUCAUUGCAACGCAGGAGGUCGCCGAGGUGGACGACCUCGACGCCACCGUCCGCCGGGAGGGACUGCUCAGAUCCACCAACGUUUCAACUCCGAAACUUGGUAGAUACAUCUAGAGAAGUGGUCUAGUUGUUUGCAUCUGAUGUUAAAUGUGAUUUUGAGAUCUCGAGUUGAGAUGUUCAAUGUUGUAUCCAUGAAUGCUGCAAGUGCUAAGAUGGUUCUGUGAACUUAGUUUAUUUGCACCGGAUGUGUCUUGAUUUCCAUC